UACGUAGGUGGCAAGCGUUGUCCGGAAUUAUUGGGCGUAAAGCGCGCGCAGGCGGCUAUGUAAGUCUGGUGUUAAAGCCCGGGGCUCAACCCCGGUUCGUCAUCGGAAACGUAGCGUAGCUUGUAGUGCAGAAGAGGAAAGACGGUAGUUCCACGUGUAGCGGUGAAAUAGCGUAGAGAUGUGGAGGAACACCAGUGGCGAAGGCGGC
rnacentral:rRNA from 1 species